rnacentral:tRNA from 1 species
GCCCUCAUAGCUCAAUGGAUAGAGUACGGGUUUGCGGAACCCGCGAUCGAGGUUCAAUUCCUCGUGAGGGCA